rnacentral:rRNA from 1 species
GCGAGAGUGCGAGCUUAAGCGAACCCCAAAAAUAACGCCUCAGUUCGGAUUGCAGCCUGCAACUCGGCUGCAUGAAGUUGGAAUCGCUAGUAAUCGCGGAUCAGAAUGCCGCGGUGAAUACGUUCCCGGGUCUUGUACACACCGCCCGUCACACCAUGGGAGUCGGGAAUGCCCGAAGUCGGUGACCUAACCGAAAGGGAGGAGCCGCCGAAGGCAGGCCUGGUAACUGGGGUGAAGUCGUAACAAGGUAUC